UCUGGGGAAAAAAAGACUUGAUUUUUUUUUGUUUUUUGCAAGAAGAAUAAUUUACGGAACGAAACCAAAAAUGACUGUCCUUUCACUUUCAUGCCUAGAAUCUUACAGCGCCCAGCAGUUUUCUGCAGCAGGAUAUCUCAAGACACCCUUUUUGUCAAGGAUGAGAAAAUUAUGUGCACUCAUGGAGGCAGUUUAUCCUGUUUGUGGACCCUGCAGCCUUUCUUUUAUUCUUCUGUUUGUAACUACUGAUUGCAGCUAGCUGAAUACGUUCCCUUGGAGAGCUGAUACAACUCAGGAAUAUUUCUGAAUAAGCACAUUGUCUCUAUUGUCCUCUUUUCAAUAACCUUCUGUAGAAAUGGCUUCCUCAACUGGGUGCCAGUCAGAUAUUUGGCACUACAGGUUCCAUCAUUCCCAGCCUGUGUGGAUAGUGGCCACGUUGACUGGAUGUGAUGGGAGUUAGAGUCUAACCCAUUUGGAGGACAUCGAGUUGGAGAAAUGAAAGAAGGAAAGGGUGUCUCAAAUGCCUACUCCUUUUUAUUCUAGUUGUGUGCCAUGUAUUAAAAUAAACUUUCAGUGUGUCAUGUAUUAAAACUUUCAGUGCGUCAUGUAUUACCAAAAAAAGCAAACAUCAACAAAGAAAGAGGAAAGAACUUCUGAAGACGUACAUCAAGAACC